GUACAUAAAAAAAAAAGAAUAAACAAUAGACUAUUUUAAUGCAACGGAUACGUCAAAUAUGCUUCAUCAUUAUGUCAGAGCUAAGUAUUGUUGUUAACAUAUUAAAAUGAAGCUAUUAUUUCAAGCAACUAAAGAGAGACAGCGAGCCAGUACCUACUAAACAUAUUUAUAUAAUAACAUUUUUCCAGUACUUUGGAUCAGGUAGACCAAGUUCUCGUUCCAGCUACGCAAUAUAUAAAUAAAAAUAUUAGUGAUUGAAAAAAAUAGCAUAGAUGAUAGACAGAAUUAUCAUGCUAAAUGAUUCAUUGUAUAAGUAUAUAGAUAAACAGUACCAAUACUACGGUACAUACUACAGAUACAUAUAUACAGUGCGUAUACAGUGUCAAUGCAGAUAAAUAUUGCACAUCAAUUUUUGGAAAGAAGCAAUCGGCUAAUUCUAAUGUUUGCGGGGCGUGAGAGAUGAACAACUUCACAAAGAUUUAAAAGGAGAAUGUGUGAAAACCUACAAAUAGAUUUGGUGUGUUUAAUGUAGUUAUUGGAAUAAAAUAUACCUUAUA